GUCGUCUUGUCAACAAUUGACGUUAAUUUGUUGGUUCUAAAAAUAAGAGCCAAUCACAUUCCAUUACAUGCUACAAAGCAGCUUGUUCUGCUGAACGCAAUCAAUUAAUACGUAUGCUUGUGAUUUUUAUGAAAAGGAUGUGAUGUAACUAAAAACUUUUAAAUUGAGAUACACUCUAGAAAAGAAUUUUUUUAGAAAUGGAUAAGACAGAAGACAUUGUUAAUAAAUAUACAUGUGAAGCUACAAAACAAAAUGAGGUUCAAAAUGAAGCUAGUAACUUUCUUCAGCAAGUUAUCAUUAGAAAUCCAAAAGAAGAAAAAUUGACUAUGACGGAUAUAAUACCACAGAUCAUUGCAAGCUGUAUAAUUCAAUGUAUAGUUAUAAAAGCUGGAAUAAAUUUGGUUUUCAGCACAGUUUUGCUAGAUGGAUUGAAAACAGAUAGUGAUAUAAGUAUUACUGACAGUGAAGAAUCUUGGAUAGCAAGUUUAGUUACAAUAACAUUACCAAUAGGAUCUACCAUUGCUGGUCCUCUAAUGGAUAGAUUUGGACGCAAAAUGGUCUCGGUAUUGUCUUGUGUUCCUGCAGCAGUAUCAUGGAUUUUGUUGAUUUUUGCUAAAUCUGUUAUUACUAUUUACGCAGCCCGAAUUGUAAUUGGAAUUGCAGCAGGGCUUACGACUGUUGGUUUUGUUUACAUAUCUGAACUUACACAUCCACAAAUCAGACCAAUGCUUUUAUGCCUUAAUUCUGUGUUUGUUUCCUUGGGUAUAUUAAUCACCUGCUGUCUAGCUGCACUGCUAGAUUGGCGCAGCAUAAGUAUGGUUUUCCUUGCACUAGAGUCUUGCAUUUUUUUUGCACUUUACUUUGUACCUGAAAGCCCCUACUGGUUAUGCUUUAGAAGCAGCAUGCGUGAUGAAACACAAUUGUGUGAGAUGAAACGCAAUUUGAAACGACUUAAUAGAAGACAAACAAUUUACGAGCAAGAAUAUUCACGAAUCAUGGAAAUAUGUAGAAAUCGCGUAGUAAGUGACGAGACAUCAAAAAGCACAUUGACACAUUUAAAAACUUGUUAUCAUGCAUUGAGGUCUGCAGAUGCUUAUAAACCUAUAAUAAUACUUCUCUUACUCUUCCUACUGCAACAACUAUCUGGUUCUUAUCUAGUUAUAUUUUAUGCACUUUCAAUUUUUCAUGAAAUUGGUGGGGCAUUCAGCAAGAGUUUUGACGAAAAUGGUGCACUUGUUUUGUUGGGUGUUAUCCGAUUUAUUGUAAGCGUAUUAACUGUCUUUUUUAGUAGAAAGUACGGCAGAAGGGUUCUCUGCAGUGUAAGUGGAAUUGGAAUGACUAUUUCUAUGUUUCUUUCCGGAAUGUACAUGCAUUUAGCAACAUCAUAUGAUGAUAACGGUAACAUAGAAGACACCGGAGCUGAUAAAAAGUGGUUAUUACUAGUUUUUAUAUUAUCUUACAUUUGCACUAGUACUUUUGGAUUUACAAACAUACCGUGGACAAUAAUCGGAGAAUUACUUCCCAUGUCCAUACGUGGUAUUGGUGGAGGUGUCAUAGUUUCUUAUGCGUAUCUAAUGAUGUUUGCUGUGGUAAAAAGCUAUCCCUAUAUCGUCAAAAGUAUAAGUAUCGAGAGUAUAUUUUUCUUUUUCAGUUUUACAUCCCUAAUGGGUACAAUUUUUAUAUACUUUUUUCUGCCAGAAACUUUAGGCAAAUCGUUUUCUGAUAUUCAAAAUUUUUUUUCUUCCAAACACAAGGCAAACAAAGCGCACAAUGCUGAUCUUACAAUUAUAUAAUUGUAUUGCUUUAUAUAAAUGAGAUUUAUAUAAUUUGGUGAUUUGCAUGAUGCUAAUUUUAAGAAAUAUCUAACAUAUUUGUAUAUGCAAAAAUCAUUAGUACUAGAUCUGCAGACCUAUUCUGCAACUUAACGCAUGCAUUUUUACGUAUCGUGUGUCGUUAUAAAAAGUUAAGUUAUAGAAUAAAGGAACUGGAAUGGAUCUGGUAUAGAUUUUUUAUAUUUUUUAUAAAGAGACAUAUUGUCUAAUAAAACUUUUCGAGAAGAACGUCUAAAAGACGUUAUGAUGUGCAGUUAUAUAAAAUUAAGACCAAGAGUCUUGGUCUGAAUAUUGCAAAAAGCAUAUUUAAGGAAAGAAACAAUUUUUCUGGGAAAUACAUAUAAUAAAUCUCUUGCUGGAUUUUGUGGAUUUCUGACACUAAAUGUGUUUACUACUUGGAGUUGUUUGCUAUGAUCUUCUGAUAAUUUUAAAACAUUGACAGAGUGUAGAAACAAAUAUAUACAAUUUUAUUACAUAUAAUUAUAUUUUGCUUUUGUUUUUCAGUUUACAUAGCCACACCUGCAUGAUAAUUUUAGUUAUAUUCGCACAUAUUAUCAUUUCAUUUUACAUAUACAUUUUAUAUGUAAAAUAUAUCAAAGAAAAUAGUUUAUAUAUAUAUAUAGAACUUUGAAAAUGGCUGCGUUUAGUAGAACUCAGUACUUUCCAUACAUAAGCGCUUUGCGCUGAGUUUACCUUUUUAAUUUUUAUUAGCGCAAUACGCUGUUAUAGUUCAUUGCAAAAUAUGGCCACCGCGUAAUAAACACGUUGGAAAAGCGUGAAUUGCUGCAAAACGUUGCAAAGCAGCUGGGUCUAUUGAAAGCGAUCAUUUUUCUCCAGUUAAACCAGUCUUAUAUUAUGCAACUAGUAACACAUAUACAUGAUAUAUGGCUUUUAAGUUUGUUUUUCUAUUCUUUUUGCAUUUGCAAAGACCAAGUGUAUAUCGGGCCGUGCAUACCAUAUGUAUCGGUUUUACCACGUGUAAAUGACAUCUGUCGAAUGUGUGCAAGCGAUGUGAAAAACGCGGCUAUAUAACAUUUCUAUGUGCAACAAGUGUUGGUCCAUUAUAACCUGACUGUCAUCAGCGAUUACUAAUUACGUAAAUUUGCAAUUUCGAUUGCAACGGAACAGCGAUGAUUUACUCAUGAGAAAUGAU